ACCACGAGUCCCUUCGGGGGUUGCGCCAAAGAUGGCCUCUACUUGUAAGCUAGUCGCUGAGGGAUGGGCCUGCGGCCAUUAGCUUGUUGGUGAGGUAACGGCUCACCAAGGCUGUGAUGGCUAGCUGGUCUGAGAGGAUGACCAGCCACACUGGGACUGAGACACGGCCCAGACUCCUACGGGAGGCAGCAGUGGGGAAUAUUGCGCAAUGGGCGAAAGCCUGACGCAGCGACGCCGCGUGGGUGAUGAAGGCCUUCGGGUCGUAAAGCCCUGUCGCAGGGGAAGAAUAAGCAUCGGUAUAAUACGCCGGUGCCCUGACGGUACCCUGCAAGAAAGCACCGGCUAACUCCGUG
rnacentral:rRNA from 1 species